CUCUAGAAUGAGCACUGGAAAAAUUAGCCCAGGGCCUCUGUCUCUGCCCACGGUUUUCAAAUUAAGAAGGAUGCCCUUGUUCUCAGUGAAACAACCUUAAAUUGUGCUUCAGGAGGACUCAGGACAUCAGCUCUCCAGGCCCCUGGCAGUGCAGUACAAGAAGGAAGAAGAAUGGAAGAGAGACAGAGAAUGGGAAAGAAGAGGCAGGGUACCACGUCCUCAGAGGCACAAGUACUGUUGCUGCUGCAGUGGUCUCUACUCAUCCUCCAGUCCUCAGAUUUCUCACCUGGGAAAUGCUAUUAACCAUCCACCCAGCUGCCUGCUUCAAAGCUGACAGAGUUAUGAACCAUGGAAGAAGAAUUCCCAUUUCUUCUGGACAUCACCCACACUGUGGAAUCUUAGGAUUUCUAUCUCCCAAAUAGAGCUUGAAUCUAUCAAGGAUCUACCCAAUAUGUAUGUCUGAAUGAUUUUAAUAACUGCCAAAUUUUUGCUUUGUUUCUAGUCUUAAUUUCAUGUAGUCUGCUUUUCCCAUGGCUAUCCAAAUAAUCAUUCAAAAAUGGCUCUAAUCACUCCCCUAUGGCCUUCAGAGUAAAUUCAAGUCCUGAACAUGGCUCACAGGUAUCUCCAGGAUUAUCUCUCCCCCUCACUGUCCACCAUUCCUUUUAUCUUUUUCUGUGCACUUCAUGGGAACAUAAUGUCCUUUAAUUUCCUUCUCUCACCUCCAACCUAGCUAAAAUCCUCUCUUUUGCCUAGAAUAUUUCUUUUUUCCCCCUACCUUACUGAGGAAUUUUUCAUACAUCAAAAGAAUAAAGUUUCUCUCUGAGCAUGCAAUGUGGAGAGAGGAGAGGAAGGGAGAGAAGAUGGGAGGAGAAACAAAGAGAAAGGAUGAGUGAGGGGACAUAUAGGCUUUCUGUGGAUCAAUUCAUAAAACCACUGUCCUCUGGAAAAUGUUAAUUCUCCAUUUUUUCAUAAUGAUAAAUCAAUGGUCAAUAUAAAAAUUAUGAGAAGGGAUAGAAUAUACAUAAUAAGAGUGAGCACUGUAUCUGGUUUGAAGAACAUCAUUAAAUGUCCUUCCAACCCUUAGAGUGUCAUCAAACAUAAUAAUAAAGCCAAAAAAUCACCUUAGGUGGCUCCCAGAUGAGUACCUUUUUUUCCUAGAAGAAUAAAUAAAGAUUUAUGAGGUGAUUAUUCAUCUCCUUUCCUCCCUUUCUCCUUUGCCAAAACAUAAGAAAAUGUUCCAUUAUCAACUUUGUCAGAAAGGUUGAGAAUUAUGGGAAUUUUAACUAAAUUGUAUAUUAGGAUCUUGCUUCAGUAUGACCUAGACAUUCAAAAUCCAAGUAAUUUCCAAUAGGUUG